rnacentral:rRNA from 1 species
UACGGAGGGUGCGAGCGUUAUCCGGAUUCACUGGGUUUAAAGGGUGCGUAGGUGGGUCUGUAAGUCAGUGGUGAAAUCUCCGAGCUUAACUUGGAAACUGCCAUUGAUACUAUAGGUCUUGAAUACUGUGGAGGUCAGCGGAAUAUGUCAUGUAGCGGUGAAAUGCUUAGAUAUGACAUAGAACACCAAUUGCGAAGGCAGCUCACUACACGAAUAUUGACACUGAGGCACGAAAGCGUGGGGAUCAAACAGG